CAAAGACGGUUUAGUUAACCUCGGAGACGGCUGUCUAAGGUAGGAUCGAUGACUGGGGUGAAGUCGUAACAAGGUAUCCCUACGAGAACGUGGGGAUGGAUCACCUCCUUUCUACGGAGUACAAAGGCAUUACUUAAAAAUAGAGUAAUGAACAAUUUAUUUUAUUUUUGGUUUUUAAAAAUCCUUAAUUAUAUUUUUAAGGUCUUAUAUGGUUGUGAAUUAUAUAUAAACCAACACAUUUUCUUGUAAUCAGUUUUGAGAGUUCUACACUCUCAAAAUAGUUCUUUGAAAACUGAAUAGUAAAAACAACGCAACAUUAAUGAGUCAUAUUUUGAUUUUUAUUCAUUAAAAAUUAAGUUUUAAAAUAUUGAUGAAAAAUAAUUGUUGUCGAGUCCAAAAAAUAUUUUUUUGGUAUCAAUCAAAUUAGAUUACCAAUCUUAAUCAACAAUAGGCAAGUAAAUUUUUAAAUAAGAAAGAGCUUUUGGUGGAUGCCUUGGGUAUGGAAGUCGAUGAAGGA
rnacentral:misc_RNA from 1 species